rnacentral:rRNA from 1 species
GAUGAACGCUAGCGGCAGGCUUAAUACAUGCAAGUUGAGGGGCAGCAUGAUAUACGCGAGUAUAUUGAUGGCGACCGGCGGACGGGUGAGUAAUAGGUAGGAGACCUACCUCAUACAGGGGGAUAGCAUAGAGAAAUCUGUGGUAAUACCCCAUGAGGUUAUAUGAAUAGAGGCAUAUAAUCAAAGCAUAAGCGAUUAUGCGGUAUGAGAGGGGCCUACUGACCAUUAGCUAGUUGGUGAGGUAAGGGCUCACCAAGGCGAAGAUGGUUAGGGGUUUUGAGAGAGAGACCCCCCACAUUGGAACUGAGAGACGGUCCAGACUCCUACGGGAGGCAGCAGUAGGGAAUAUUGGGCAAUGGGCGAAAGCCUGACCCAGCCAUGCCGCGUGAAGGAAGACGGCCUUAUGGGUUGUAAACUUCUUUACUACGCGAAUAGAGGUUAGUACGAGAUACUAAUAGGAAGGUAGUGUAGUAAAAAGCAACCGGCUAACUCCGUGA